AUGGGCAACACACGGUUUGCCUGCUCCAGACCAAUAUGGAAAUCCAAGGCACCUCCAAGAUGCAAGUUCUUUAUGUGGUUGGCGGUCCACCGGAAGUGUCUCACGGCGGACAAUCUUGAGGAGCCGGAAAACUGCUCGCAUUUGUUUGUAAAUUGCAGAUUUACACAGCAGCUCUGGUGGAGCUUCAGAACCUGGACGGGGGCUAAUUUCCAGGUGCCCGGCGAGCAUUUUGGCACGACGGAAGACUGGUGGCUGAAGGCAAGGGCGGCAAUCCCGAAACCGUUACGGAGGAAUUUCGACACGAUCGCUAUCCUGAUACACUGGAGGAUAUGGAAGGAGAGAAACGCGAUAAUUUUUGAUAAUGUAGCCAGCACCGUAGACAGGGUGCUGGAGUUAAUUAAGGAAGACAUUAGAAUGUGGCGGGCCUACCGGCGAACGCCUAAUUUUGUGUUGGGUCCCAGCUCUAGUCCGCCUAGACUGCUUCCCGGCUGUACUAUGUACUUCUCUUCCUAUUUAAUAUAA
rnacentral:rRNA from 1 species